GUCCUCGUAGAUGAAUCGGCACAUCAUCCACUCCUUUCUGUAUGAUAUGCUGAAGAAGAGUAAAUGGAAGGCGGAGGUUCGAAUCCUUCCGAGGGCA